UUCCAAUCAAGGUUUUUAAUGAGGCCAUAAGUUCACUUUCACAUCUCCUAGAUUAUGUAUCUUGGAUGCAUCUCGGCCUAGGCAACUUGGACCGACUUCAUCAUCUAUCUUAUGUUAUGUUUUUAGUCUAUGUGUUAUGUCUUUAUUUCAAAACCGUGUGGAGCCUUUCUCUUUAUGUUUCUUUAUGUUUUCGAGACCUUGUGCAUGUACAAGGAUCUCUCUACUUAAGUGUUUCAAAAACCCUUAUUCUAAUCUAAGUUAUCUUUU
rnacentral:lncRNA from 1 species